UACGGAGGAUGCUAGCGUUGUUCGGAAUUACUGGGCGUAAAGGGCGCGUAGGCGGCCGUUUGCGUCGGAUGUGAAAGCCCGGGGCUCAACCUCGGAACGGCAUUCGAUACGGGACGGCUGGAGACCGGGAGAGGAGAGUGGAAUAGCCAGUGUAGAGGUGAAAUUCGUAGAUAUUGGCUGGAACACCGGUGGCGAAAGCGGCUCUCUGGCCCGGUUCUGACGCUGAGGCGCGAAAGCGUGGGGAGCAAACAGG
rnacentral:rRNA from 1 species